UCCUCUCUCUGCCUAACCCUGUCGAUGAGGACGGACCGUUCGCUACACACAUCGACAGGGGCGGGGGAACCGAUAGCGGACCCACUCACGGGUCCUAGGGGUCAAGACGCGCGUGCACCAGCUCUGGGGCGGUGGUGCACGAACACCACGUCCGGAUGUCCCAUCCGAACCCGACAGCUAACUUCGUAGGCAUUGGGAAAGGCAUC
rnacentral:sRNA from 2 species